CCUGCCACUAGAGUAGUUAUCAGGUGUGGCUGAUAUGUCACAUGUGCAUCAGUAGGUGGCAGAGAAGAGAGAGGUUAUGUCUAUGCUCAGUGUUCUGGCUUGUGAACAUGUGAAUAAUUAGUAGCUUAAUGCC